UACGUAGGGUGCGAGCGUUGUCCGGAAUUAUUGGGCGUAAAGAGCUCGUAGGCGGUGUGUCACGUCGGCCGUGAAAACCUGCAGCUUAACUGUGGGCGUGCGGUCGAUACGGGCAUCACUGGAGUUCGGCAGGGGAGACUGGAAUUCCUGGUGUAGCGGUGAAAUGCGCAGAUAUCAGGAGGAACACCGGUGGCGACGGCGGGUCUCUGGGCCGAUACUGACGCUGAGGAGCGCAAGCGUGGGGAGCAAACAGG
rnacentral:rRNA from 1 species